ACCCACCGCCGCCAACCUACCUACCACUGCCAAUCUACCUACCGCUGCCAAUCUAUCUAUCACUGCUAAUCUAUCGCUGCUAAUCUAUCGCUGCUAAUCUAUCGCUGCUAAUCUAUCGCUGCUAAUCUAUCGCUGCUAAUCUAUCGCUGCUAAUCUAUCGCUGCUAAUCUAUCGCUGCCAACCUACCUACCGCUGCCAACCUAUCUAUCACUGCUAAUCUAUCGCUGCUAAUCUAUCGCUGCUAAUCUAUCGCUGCUAAUCUAUCGCUGCUAAUCUAUCGCUGCUAAUCUAUCGCUGCUAAUCUAUCGCUGCUAAUCUAUCGCCGCCAACCUACCUACCGCUGCCAACCUACCUACCGCUGCCAACCUACCUACCGCUGCCAACCUAUCUACCGCUGCCAACCUAUCUAUCGCUGCCAACCUAUAUAGGGUAAAUCAUGGUCCCAUUUGGUCCCAUUUUGUAAAAUGGAAUCAAAUGGGACUGAGACCACUAAUUUAUUAGUAAAACAUGAUCUGAGACUAGAUUUAUAAUAUAAACAGUGUAAAGUGACUAAUUUACUAAAUACUAUAUGAGAUCAGAACUAAGAUAUCUAAUAAUGGAACUGAGGAAAAAUUUGGUCCCAGUUCCAUAUAUAAUCACACAGCCAGUCUACAUACAAUUCAGUUGAACA
rnacentral:sRNA from 2 species